UACAGAGGGUGCAAGCGUUAAUCGGAAUUACUGGGCGUAAAGCGUGCGUAGUCGGUUAUUUAAGUCGGGUGUGAAAUCCCCGGGCUCAACCUGGGAAUUGCAUUCGAUACUGGAUAGCUAGAGUUCGGCAGAGGGAAGCGGAAUUUCCGGUGUAGCGGUGAAAUGCGUAGAUAUCGGAAGGAACAUCAGUGGCGAAAGCGGCUUCCUGGACCAGAACUGACGAUCAGGCACGAAAGCGUGGGGAGCAAACAGG
rnacentral:rRNA from 1 species